UAGAAGAACAGGAUUUGAACCUGCACAAAAAGACUCAAAAUCUUCAGCACUCCAUUAUACUAUCUUCU
rnacentral:tRNA from 1 species